rnacentral:rRNA from 1 species
GACGAACGCUGGCGGCGUGCCUAAUACAUGCAAGUAGAACGCACAGUUUAUACCGUAGCUUGCUACACCAUACACUGUGAGUUGCGAACGGGUGAGUAACGCGUAGGUAACCUGCCUGGUAGCGGGGGAUAACUAUUGGAAACGAUAGCUAAUACCGCAUAAUAUUGAUUAUUGCAUGAUAAUUGAUUGAAAGAUGCUAUUGCAUCACUACCAGAUGGACCUGCGUUGUAUUAGCUAGUAGGUGAGGUAACGGCUCACCUAGGCGACGAUACAUAGCCGACCUGAGAGGGUGAUCGGCCACACUGGGACUGAGACACGGCCCAGACUACUACGGGAGGCAGCAGUAGGGAAUCUUCGGCAAUGGACGAAAGUCUGACCGAGCAACGCCGCGUGAGUGAAGAAGGUUGUCGGAUCGUAAAGCUCUGUUGUAAGAGAAGAACGGGUGUGAGAGUGGAAAGUUCACACUGUGACGGUAUCUUACCAGAAAGGGACGGCUAACUACGUG